rnacentral:rRNA from 1 species
CCGCGGGAACACCGGCGGCCCGAGUGGUGAUCGUGAUUAUUGGGUCUAAAGGGUCCGUAGCCGGUUUGGUCAGUCCUCCGGGAAAUCUGAUAGCUCAACUAUUAGGCUUUCGGGGGAUACUGCCAGACUUGGAACCGGGAGAGGUAAGAGGUACUACAGGGGUAGGAGUGAAAUCUUGCAAUCCCUGUGGGACCACCUGUGGCGAAGGCGUCUUACCAGAACGGGUUCGACGGUGAGGGACGAAAGCUGGGGGGCACGAACCGGAUUAGAUACCCGGGUAGUCCCAGCCGUAAACGAUGCUCGCUAGGUGUCAGGCAUGGCGCGACCGUGUCUGGUGCCGCAGGGAAGCCGUGAAGCGAGCCACCUGGGAAGUACGGCCGCAAGGCUGAAACUUAAAGGAAUUGGCGGGGGAGCACAACAACGGGUGGAGCCCUGCGGUUUAAUUGGACUCAACGCCGGACAACUCACCGGGGGCGACAGCAAUAUGUAGGCCAAGCUGAAGACUUUGCCUGAAUCGCUGAGAAGAGGUGCAUGG